rnacentral:rRNA from 1 species
CCCGCACAAGCGGUGGAGCAUGUGGUUUAAUUCGAUGCAACGCGAAGAACCUUACCUAGACUUGACAUCCCGGGAAUCCUUAGGAAACUAAGGAGUGCCUUUCGGGGAGCCCGGAGACAGGUGCUGCAUGGCUGUCGUCAGCUCGUGUCGUGAGAUGUUGGGUUAAGUCCCGCAACGAGCGCAACCCUUGUCAUUAGUUGCUACAUUCAGUUGGGCACUCUAAUGAGACUGCCGGUGACAAGCCGGAGGAAGGUGGGGAUGACGUCAAGUCCUCAUGGCCCUUAUAGGUGGGGCUACACACGUCAUACAAUGGCUGGUACAAAGGGUUGCCAACCCGCGAGGGGGAGCCAAUCCCAUAAAGCCAGUCGUAGUCCGGAUCGUAGUCUGCAACUCGACUACGUGAAGUCGGAAUCGCUAGUAAUCGUGGAUCAGAAUGUCACGGUGAAUACGUUCCCGGGUCUU